CUAUGGAUCAAGCUAAAGAACCAGUGAAGACUCCGAUGGUGUACACAUGUGGUGGUAAUGAUUGUCAUUUUCUCAAACUGUGACCUGCAGUUUUGGGGUUCCAUGACUCCAGAGUGGAUUACAGUGGUAGCAGACUCAGAAAUGCCAUCAUGAAAAUGAAAUUAGACCUCGAGAUCCAAUACGAUGUCGAGAAUGUGGGUACCGUAUUAUGUACAAGAAGAGGACAAAGAGAUUGGUUGUGUUUGAUGCCCGUUGAUUAUAAGGAGCAGUGAGGAGAG